rnacentral:rRNA from 1 species
AGUGAACGCUGGCGGUAGGCCUAACACAUGCAAGUCGAACGGCAGCACAGUAAGAGCUUGCUCUUACGGGUGGCGAGUGGCGGACGGGUGAGGAAUACAUCGGAAUCUACUUUUUCGUGGGGGGAUAACGUAGGGAAACUUACGCUAAUACCGCAUACGACCUACGGGUGAAAGCAGGGGAUCUUCGGACCUUGCGCGAUUGAAUGAGCCGAUGUCGGAUUAGCUAGUUGGCGGGGUAAGGGCCAACCAAGGCGACGAUCCGUAGCUGGUCUGAGAGGAUGAUCAGCCACACUGGAACUGAGACACGGUCCAGACUACUACGGGAGGCAGAAGUGGGGAAUAUUGGACAAUGGGCGCAAGCCUGAUCCAGGCAUACCGCGUGGGUGAAGAAGGCCGUCGGGUUGUAAAGCCCUUUUGUUGGGAAAGAAAAGCAGCAGGUUAAUACCCCGCUGUUCUGACGGUACCCAAAGAAUAAGCACCGGCUAACUUCGUG